rnacentral:tRNA from 1 species
AGGGUUGUAGUUAAUUAUAACAUUUGAUUUGCAUUCAAAAAGUAUCAAUAAGGUCAAUCUUG